rnacentral:ncRNA from 1 species
UAGACCAAGUAGGUCCAAGGGGGAUAGGGGUUAAUGUGUUAAUAAUCACCUAACCUAGACCUUGAAUAUACACCCCCUAACCUUCUAAAUCAUUGACCCAUAACUCAUAACCCUUCUAAAGAUGCAAUGUGAUUUAUUCUCGUUGCUCUACAUGUCAAAGUGAAGAAAUUCAACCAAGCACGGGUAAACGACAGGAGUAAAUAUGACUCUCUUAAGUUAUCCAGAUGCCUCUUCAUCUAAUUAGUGACACACAUGAAUGGAUUAAUGAGAUUCCCCACUAUCCCUAGCUACUAUAUUCUAGAGAAACCACAUCCAAGGGAAUGGGCUUGGCAGAAUUAGCAAGGAAAGAAGACCUUGUUGAGCUUGACUCUAGUCCUAACCCAUUCAUAGUUUGGUAAAAUUAGGGCAUAGUUUGGGAAAAUUAGACCAUAGCAUUUAUCUUUGGGAGUCACAAACCAUGCAUGGUGUCUCGAGUGCCCACCUCACAAGCCAUACAUAGGGAAUCUUUGGCAUGUGAGUAAGUUGUGGUGCCCAUUUUAAGACAUGUCAUAGUAGGGAAGGUUUUUUGGGCCUAGUCCAUGGUCUAA